rnacentral:rRNA from 1 species
CCUACGGGAGGCAGCAGUAAGGAAUCUUCCACAAUGGACGAAAGUCUGAUGGAGCAACGCCGCGUGCAGGAUGAAGGCUUUCGGGUCGUAAACUGCUUUUAUAUGGGAAGAUUAUGACGGUACCAUAUGAAUAAGGACCGGCUAACUACGUGCCAGCAGCCGCGGUAAUACGUAGGGUCCAAGCGAUAUCCGGAAUUACUGGGCGUAAAGCGUGUGUAGGUGGAUUAAUAAGUGUGAUGCGAAAUCCGGCGGCUCAACCGUUUGGACUGUGUCGCAUACUGUUAGUCUAGAGGACGGCAGAGGUAAGUGGAAUUACGGGUGUAGCAGUGAAAUGCGUAGAUAUCCGUAGGAACACCAAUGGCGAAGGCAGCUUACUGGGCCACACCUGACACUGAGACACGAAAGCGUGGGGAGCGAACAGGAUUAGAUACCCUGGUAGUCCACGCCGUAAACGAUGCAUACUAUUAGUAUGGGGUAUCGACCCCCUGUGCUGAGAAGCUAACGCGAUAAGUAUGCCGCCUGGGGAGUACGGUGCAGAUUAACUACAANAGAAUUGACCGGNUGAGAGNGCGAGACGACGACGAGGGAGAGG